AACAUACACAGCCUCUGUUCUAGAAAUGUAACUAACACCUUCUGAACACAGAAACUGUGACUUUAUCGUGUGAGGCUCAUUUUAGAUGAUUGUUGAUUGAACAUGUUCAGUUCAGUUAAUCACAGAGACACGUUAGUGUUUUGUUCAUUUCACUCUAAGCCCAAUUCUUCUAAGAGGAAGAAAGUUAAUGUAUAAAUGAGUAAACCUGUGACUUCAAGAUCAUGAUGAUGCAUUUCAUGCAAAUCUUCCACUUGUGUCUCUUACAUUAAGGAGGUCUGUGUGAGUGUGUGUGUAGUGAGGAGGAAGAGAGCAGCUGAGCAUUUUACUUCACUUCACUUUUAUAUCUACAACAAUGCUGUCAUUAUCAGUGUUGCUGCUGCUUUCUGCUGCAUUCUGUGGUGUUGGAGGUGUGGAGCUCACUCAGACAGACUCUGUGCUGGUGAAGCCUGGAGAGUCGUUCGCCAUCUCUUGUAAGAUCUCAGUGUCGAGUUAUUGUAUACACUGGAUACGGCAACCUGCUGGAAAAGCACUGGAAUGGCUCGGAUAUCUGUGUAGCAGUGAUAGCACUAAUCUCAAAGACAUGAUGAAGAGCAAGAUCAGUCUCAGCCAGGACAAAUCCAGCAGCACAGUUUACUUAAGAGGACAAAACUUUCAGGUCGAGGACACGGCUGUGUAUUACUGUGCCAGACACACAACACUACAAACUCACUGAAGCCCUGUACAAAAACAUCCCUGGUUAUUUUCCUCUCUCUGCAGUGCACAUGUCCCCAGAGGGGUCUGGUAUAUAUGAGCUAGCAGAGCUAAGACACUUCUGUAGUUCAAAGAUAUCUACAUAAAGUUUCAUCUUUGUCUCAACAUUAAAUUAAAUUGUUUUCCUGAACACAAGUGUAUAGACAGUUAAUCCAUCACUAAUAUGACACCAAUCUAUUCCAAAGCUUUUAUGCAGAUUGCUGAAGUGGAUGAUGGUGUAACACAAAAUUUAAGCUAUUAUUAUAAUUAUAAUUGUCUGUGUGUUUUUACGCAUCUAGAUGUCACCAAAUGUUACAAAAUUUAAACUUUAAUCAAAAAUUUUUAUUGUAUGUUUCUUUCUUUUAGAGCUGCUUUGAGAAAAUACCUCUUAUGGACCUCCGCCUAUAUCCAUUGUCCAACAAAAAGUGGUACAGCUCCCACAUACUUUGACACAGUUUGAGAAAAGGAGAAGUAAAACUGAGAACUAUAAUUUCUAAUAAAUGUCACUGGGGUGCAGGUCCCUGCUGAGGGAAUAUUUACAGCUCAGGAGGAUGUGCUGGUAUACGUUUCUAAAGUCUGUUGUGUCAGUGUGGUUGUCAUG